CUGAGGCAGCUGGGCUGGGCUGGGCUGGGGAGGUGGUGGCACAGCGGGGGCUGCAGGCCU
rnacentral:miRNA from 1 species